AUUAAACGCUGGCGGCAUGCCUUACACAUGCAAGUCGAACGGCAGCACGGGGGCAACCCUGGUGACGAGUGGCGAACGGGUGAGUAAAUGCAGUACGGAACGUACCCUUUCGAGUGGGGGGAUAACGUAGCGAAAGUUACGCUAAUACCGCAUAUUCUGUGAGCAGGAAAGCAGGGGAUCGCAAGACCUUGCGCUGAUUGAGCGGCCGAUAUCAGAUUAGGUAGUUGGUAGGGUAAGAGCCUACCAAGCCAACGAUCUGUAGCUGGUCUGAGAGGACGACCAGCCACACUGGGACUGAGACACGGCCCAGACUCCUACGGGAGGCAGCAGUGGGGAAUUUUGGACAAUGGGCGCAAGCCUGAUCCAGCAAUGCCGCGUGCAGGACGAAGGCCUUCGGUUGUAACUGCUUUGUACGGACGAAAGACUUCUGGUUAAUACCUGGGAGUCAUGACGGUACCGUAAGAAUAAGCACCGGCUAACUACGUGCCAGCAGCCG
rnacentral:rRNA from 1 species